rnacentral:rRNA from 1 species
UAGGGAAUAUUGCACAAUGGGCGAAAGCCUGAUGCAGCAACGCCGCGUGUGCGAAGAAGGCCUUCGGGUCGUAAAGCGCUUUUCUGGGAGAUGAGAAAGGACAGUAUCCCAGGAAUAAGUCUCGGCUAACUACGUGCCAGCAGCCGCGGUAAAACGUAGGAGGCGAGCGUUAUCCGGAUUCACUGGGCGUAAAGCGCGUGCAGGCGGUUUGGUAAGUUGGGCGUGAAAGCUCCUGGCUCAACUGGGAGAGGUCGUCCAAAACUACCAGACUAGAGAGCGGUAGAGGAAAAUGGAAUUCCCGGUGUAGUGGUGAAAUGCGUAGAUAUCGGGAGGAACACCAGUGGCGAAGGCGAUUUUCUGGACCGUUUCUGACGCUCAGACGCGAAAGCUAGGGUAGCAAACGGGAUUAGAGACCCCGGUAGUCCUAGCUGUAAACGAUGUGAACUUGGCGUUGGUGGCUUAAACACCAUCAGUGCCGUAGCUAACGCGAUAAGUUCACCGCCUGGGGACUACGGCCGCAAGGUUA